rnacentral:rRNA from 1 species
UACGGAGGGUGCUAGCGUUGUUCGGAUUUACUGGGCGUAAAGGGCGCGUAGGCGGCCCUGUCAGUCGGGUGUGAAAGCCCGGGGCUCAACCCCGGAACGGCACCCGAGACGGCAGGGCUGGAGACCGGGAGAGGAGGGUGGAAUAGCCAGUGUAGAGGUGAAAUUCGUAGAUAUUGGCUGGAACACCGGUGGCGAAAGCGGCUCUCUGGCCCGGUCCUGACGCUGAGGCGCGAAAGCGUGGGGAGCAAACAGG